GUUUCUGAGCUAGCUCAGUCAGUAGAGCACAAGAUUCUUAAUCUCAGGGUUAUGGGUUUGAACUCCACACUGGACA